ACACCCAGCUCCCCUGGCUCUAGCAGCACAGAAAUAUUGGCACUGGGAAGAAAGUCUGCCAAUAUUGGCUGUGCUGCUCCAGGCAGGGUGGUAA
ensembl:miRNA